rnacentral:rRNA from 1 species
GAUGAACGCUAGCUACAGGCUUAACACAUGCAAGUCGAGGGGCAGCGCAGUGUAGCAAUACACGGGCGGCGACCGGCGCACGGGUGCGUAACGCGUAUCCAACCUUCCCGUUACUCAGGGAUAGCCUUCCGAAAGGGAGAUUAAUACCUGAUGGUGUUCAAAUUCCGCAUGUUAUUUGAACUAAAGAUUCAUCGGUAACGGAUGGGGAUGCGUGACAUUAGAUAGUAGGCGGGGUAACAGCCCACCUAGUCUACGAUGUCUAGGGGUUCUGAGAGGAAGGUCCCCCACACUGGAACUGAGACACGGUCCAGACUCCUACGAGAGGCAGCAGUGAGGAAUAUUGGUCGAUGGUCGGAAGACUGAACCAGCCAAGUAGCGUGAAGGAUGAAGGUUCUAUGGAUUGUAAACUUCUUUUAUACGGGAAUAAAACCUCCCACGUGUGGGAGCUUGUAUGUACCGUAUGAAUAAGCAUCGGCUAACUCCGUGCCAGCCGCCGCAGUAAUAC